GCCUGGUGGCACGUGCCGCUAGUCCCAGCUACUCUAGAGGCUGAGGUGGGAGGAUCGCUUGAGCCCAGGAGUUCUGGGCUGUAGUGUGCUAUACCGAUCAGGUGUCCCAACUAAGUUCAACACCAAUAUGGUGACCUCCCGGUAGCAGGGGACCACCAGGUUGCCUAAGGAGGGGUGAACCGGCCCAGGUCAGAAACGGAGCAGGUCAAAACUCGGCUGCUAAUCAGUAGUGGGAUCUCGCCAGUGAAUAGCCACUGCACUCCAGCCUGGGCAACAUAGUGAGACCCCAUCUCA
rnacentral:SRP_RNA from 1 species